UACAGAGGUCCCGAGCGUUGUUCGGAUUCACUGGGCGUAAAGGGUGCGUAGGUGGUGAGGAAAGUCGGAUGUGAAAUCUCCAAGCUCAACUUGGAAAUGGCAUUGGAAACUACCUUGCUGGAGGUUUGGAGGGGGGACUGGAAUACUUGGUGUAGCAGUGAAAUGCGUAGAUAUCAAGUGGAACACCAGUGGCGAAGGCGAGUCCCUGGACAACAACUGACACUGAGGCACGAAAGCGAGGGGAGCAAACAGG
rnacentral:rRNA from 1 species